AUUUUAGAGAGGAAAAAGAAGGGGAAGAAGAAUUUGGCUGUUGUUGGUUUUGAAAAGAAGGAAGAGGAGGAACUGAAGGAAGUUGGUGUAAUGGGCGACGACAGUGGUGGUUUGAGUGCUAAUAAGGCCGUUGGGCAGGAGGAGGAGGGCAGUACUGCACCUUUCCCAGAAAAGGUUCAAGUGGGAGGAUCACCUUUUUAUAAGAUAGAAAGAAAAUUGGGUAAAGGUGGAUUUGGUCAGGUGUUUGUUGGUCGUCGUGUUACUGGUGGAACUGAACGCACAAUGGGUCCUGGGGCCAUGGAGGUAAAGUUGGCUUUAUGUUCUGUUUGUUAUUUUGUUAUAUUAUAUAUAAGUUUAAUCCAUAGUUGUUAAAGGCACGCCUCUAGUGCAAGGCACAAGAGACUCAACCCUUAACACGUCAACCCCUGAAAGGCUGGCGACCUUCAAUAGGUGUGUCCCUUGCGAUCCUCAAGCAAGGGCGCAAGGUGUGCCGCUAGGCUUGCCUAUGCUACAUUUCACAAAAAUUUCAGCAAGAUUAUCUCAAUUAUUUUAUAGAGAUUCACUUGCAUAUAUCUAUACACUCACACUUGCACAAAGUUAUGCAUUACAAGUUUAUUGCUCAUUGCAAAGAAAGAGGCUAAAAUUAUAUUUGUCAACAUAAGACUAAAUUCCUUUGAUUUUGGAAUCAUUUUCCCUUUUAUCUUUUUUUGUAUGGCUCUUUGUCCCUAUCUCUUGUCUAGGUGUUUUUGUUAUUUUCGAUAUUUUCCAUUGCUUAAUUUUUAUAGAAGAAAAUGCUGCCUAUUAACCUAGCUUGUGUGAAUUGAUGUUUGUUUAUUAUUUAUUUGACUAUAAGAAAUGUGUAAGUAAGGAAAGAAAAGAGGUUAGAUUGGGAACAUACAGCAUGUUUCUUGUGUCAUAAUGAAGAAGACUAAGUUACUUUUGAUGAUGAGUAUUUUCUUAGUAGGAAUUUUGGAAUAUGAUUUAAGAGUUUUAAAAUCUUUUAUUAUUAUUAUUUUUUUGGAUUUCAAAAACAUUGAUGCUAGAAUCCUAAAUAAUCUAUGUUAUUAAUAUGAGUUGACGUGUAUAAGAUUAGCUAUUUAAUUUUAUUUUUUCUGCACCUCAUGUCACUCAGGCUUGCGCCUAGGCUCCAGAACCCUUUUGCAGCUUAAUGCGCCUUUAAUAACUUUGGCUUAAUCAUGUUAUAACUUUUUUUUACACGUGUUCUCAUAAGGUGGCUUUGAAAUUUGAGCAUAAAAACAGCAAAGGUUGUAACUAUGGUCCCCCGUACGAAUGGCAAGUAUAUAAGUAAGUCCUUUCUUCUUUUUCUUUCUCUAUUCCAUCUCUCUUUGUGUGUAUGUGUGGCUACUUUUACAUUUGUUAUUAUUAUUUUAGUGAUUCUAAUAUUUCCUUUGGUUGAGUAGCACUCUUGGUGGUAGCCAUGGAGUGCCAAGGGUUCACUAUAAAGGAAAGCAAGGAGAUUAUUAUGUAAUGGUUAUGGACAUGCUAGGCCCUAGCCUUUGGGAUGUAUGGAAUUCUUCUGGGCAGGCGUGAGUAUUUCAUGCAUUGAAUAAUUUUCAUUUCUUUGUGCAUAUGUGGAAUUUAUUUAUUUAUUCACUCUUUUUUACUGAGCUCUGAUGAUACAGGGUGAACUGUUUUAUAAAGGUUAUUUUCCUCUCCCUAUGUUGCCUUAUAUUGUGUUAACAAAUUAGUGUAGUUGCUUUUUUCUCUUAUGUGCACAAUUAUAUUAUUUAACUUUUAAAUAAUCUAUCUGUAGGUUUUUUCUACUAUAUGUUUUUUGCUUAUAUUUGUGUGUAUGUGUUUCUUUUUCUUUAUGUACAUAGGAUGUCCUCAGAAAUGGUAGCUUGUAUUGCUGUUGAAUCUCUAUCAAUCCUAGAGAAGAUGCAUUCCAGAGGCUAUGUGCAUGGAGAUGUAAAGCCAGAGAACUUUUUACUUGGUCAGCCAGGUACAGCACAAGAGAAGAAGUUAUUUCUUGUGGACCUUGGAUUGGCAACAAAGUGGAGAGAUAGUGGUAGUGGGCAGCAUGUUGAAUAUGAUCAGCGUCCUGAUAUGUUCAGAGGAACUGUUCGAUAUGCUAGUGUACAUGCUCACUUG
rnacentral:misc_RNA from 1 species